UCGAGAAUCUUCGGCAAUGGGCGCAAGCCUGACCGAGCGACGCCGCGUGUGGGAUGAAGGCCUUCGGGUCGUAAACCACUGUCAGAGGGGAUGAAAUGCAGGUGGGUUCUCCCAUCUGUUUGACAUAGCCUCAGAGGAAGGACGGGCUAAGUUCGUGCCAGCAGCCGCGGUAAGACGAACCGUCCAAACGUUAUUCGGAAUUACUGGGCUUAAAGGGUGCGUAGGCGGCGCGGAAAGUUGGGUGUGAAAUCCCUCGGCUCAACCGAGGAACUGCGCCCAAUACUACCGUGCUUGAGGGAGAUAGAGGUGAGUGGAACUUAGGGUGGAGCGGUGAAAUGCGUUGAUAUCCUAAGGAACACCGGUGGCGAAAGCGGCUCACUGGAUCUCUUCUGACGCUGAGGCACGAAAGCUAGGGUAGCGAACGGGAUUAGAUACCCGUGUAGUCCCUGAGCGGGCUGGCAAGGCGCAU
rnacentral:rRNA from 1 species